AACAGAUCCCUAUCCAGACAAGACUAAGAAGUGGUGAGAGUGAGGUAGAAAAGAUGAGAAAUAAAAGUCAUGAACUUAAAGUAACUGUUUCAAAUAGCAAGUUCAAAUUAUGCAGUUAAAGAUAGAAGUCAAAAAGUAAAGAUUUGAACUUGUAAACAAAAUGAAAUCUUAGAAAUAAAAAAUUUAAAAAAAUCUACUUUGAAUUUGAGCUCAUAGUCACUGUAAACAUUGUGUGUGUAGGUGUAGUUACAGAUUGAAACAUUUGCAUACAUCUGAGGCACACCCCCACAUAAUGGACAGAGCUCACUGUUGCAUACAUUUCAUUGGACGGGUUGACUUUUUGUUUUGCUAAUUUGUAGCUGAACAAUAUAAACAAACAACAAAUAUAUAACCCUUAAGGUAAACUGAUUGACUGCUAAUACAGCAGUUGAACAUGAUCAUGGUGGAAAAGAUGAGAACAUGUAGGGAAAAUGAUUACACCCAGAGGUGAAAAGUUAAAAACAAUUGUUAUUUUUUUAUUUAAACAUUAGGUAAAUAUCUCUCAAUUAAUUAAAAAAAAAUCAAAAUCAAUAAUCAAAAUUAUCUUUUUGUAAAACAUGUCUGUUAAAUUACAAGCCAAAGUAAAAAUAUUUUCUUAAAAUGUCUGUUCUAAAAUAUUUUUUUUUUGGUUGCGUAAAGAUCUUUUAAUGACUAUUUUAAUUCUGAAAAGUUUCAUUUUGUAGAGAAAUACUGUUUUUAAAAUGUAAAACAGAUAAAAUACAUUGUGAAAAUUCUAUUGCAUUCAAUACUUUGGAAGAUCAUUUCAGUCACAACCAGUUGUUCUAAUGCUGAAGUUUCAAAGAUUCAAAACUAUUUAAAAACCUGUACACAGUGAAGGCAAAGUGGGGUUGGCAACAAGAAAACAAGUUCCUUAACACAAACAAUUGAUUCACAAAAUGAAAGCAGAAGUAAUUUUUCCAAAAUAACAAUUCUGAUUUGCUGGCAUUUUAUAGAACAGUUACUAGUAUCCUCCUCCAAGCCUUAUAAAAUUACACAUAAACAGCCUAGUAUUAAAAACUUCAGCAGUUUAAAAAAAAAAAAAAAAAAAAAAAAG